UAGGGANUCUUCGGCAAUGGACGGAAGUCUGACCGAGCAACGCCGCGUGAGUGAAGAAGGUUUUCGGAUCGUAAAGCUCUGUUGUAAGAGAAGAACGAGUGUGAGAGUGGAAAGUUCACACUGUGACGGUAACUUACCAGAAAGGGACGGCUAACUACGUGCCAGCAGCCGCGGUAAUACGUAGGUCCCGAGCGUUAUCCGGAUUUAUUGGGCGUAAAGCGAGCGCAGGCGGUUAGAUAAGUCUGAAGUUAAAGGCUGUGGCUUAACCAUAGUACGCUUUGGAAACUGUUUAACUUGAGUGCAGAAGGGGAGAGUGGAAUUCCAUGUGUAGCGGUGAAAUGCGUAGAUAUAUGGAGGAACACCGGUGGCGAAAGCGGCUCUCUGGUCUGUAACUGACGCUGAGGCUCGAAAGCGUGGGGAGCAAACAGGAUUAGAUACCCUGGUAGUCCACGCCGUAAACGAUGAGUGCUAGGUGUUGGGUCCUUUCCGGGACUCAGUGCCGCAGCUAACGCAUUAAGCACUCCGCCUGGGGAGUACGACCGCAAGGUUG
rnacentral:rRNA from 1 species